GGGAAAAUGAUGAAAAUCAUUUCAUAUUACCAUCUUUCGGGGCUGAUAAAAAAUGAUGAUAUCAUAAUCUGAUUCCU